CAGGAAUUAGCUCAGCGCUGAAUCUUAGGUCUAGAAAUAGGUUUAAGAAUUGUGGCGUGAAGUGGCUGGUUGCUGCAGCUGUCAAGGUGUGUAAGUUUCCUUAAACGGUUCCCAGCUCCAUAGAGGGUGAAAGGCCCGUUUCACACUAGGCAAGCGCUGUAGCAUACAGUUGCAGAGAGUCUGGUUGUUUGGAAACGCAACCUAAAGUCGGUGGUAUGUUUCAUCGAAAGCUAAAUAUCGCCGCGAGUCCGAUAGCGAACAAGUNCCGUGAGGGAAAAUUGAAAAGCACUUUGAAGAGAGAGUGAAACAGUGCGUGAAACCGCUCAGAGGUAAGCGGAUGGGCCCUNGAAGAUAAGCUAGAGAAUUCAGCUUGACUAAGGCACGAAACGGUUUUUUUUGCGCGAUCAGGUUUCUUGUAAACUGUGACGUGCAGGAGAGAUGCUGUCAUGCCGCGUUUGGUGUAUUUUCUUUAGCCAGACGUCAUCGCCUUUGCUUGAUAUGUGCGCCCGCAAGUCAUAGGGAACGCUCGUGGCAAGCCUCGUGCAUGUUUUCGAGACGCUUCUUACGGCAAUUGUGAGAGUAAAGCGGCACAUUGUAAAGGAGCAGGGUAUUAUCUGUUGCUAUGCGCUAGAAAUAGGAGCUUGUGUUGAAGCAGUGUUAUUGAGUCGUAAGGCUCGAUGGCGAUGCAUUUGGCGCAACUCUCUUGUUUUUCAAGCCUAACAGAGAAAAGCCCGAUGACGAGUAGAGACGGUCUCCCAUCCAUCCCGUCUUGAAACACGGACCAAGGAGUUCAGACUGCGCGCAAGUUGCAGGGUAAUAUUUACACCUGAAAGCGUAGUGAAAGCAAGAGGUUUAACUCGGUUAAGCCGUUUAGGCGGGAUCUUGGCUUGUUUUGCAGCUAUGUAAAAAAGGUCAGGCGCACCGCCGGCGCGCUCUAUUGCCACGUGCUUUGAGCGGAGCUUAAGCGUGCAAUUUGAGACCCGAAAGAUGGUGAACUAUGCCUGAGCAGGAUAAAGCCAGGGGAAACUCUGGUGGAAGUCCGUAGAGAUUCUGACGUGCAAAUCGAUCUUCUGACUUGGGUAUAGGGGCGAAAGACUAAUCGAACCGUCUAAUAGCUGGUUCCCUCCGAAGUUUCCCUCAGGAUAGCUGGCGCUCGUGUGUUUAAAACACGACAGUGUCUCCCGGUAAAGCGAAUGAUUAGAGGUCUUGGGGACGAAACGUUCUCAACCUAUUCUCAAACUUUAAAUGGGUGAGAAGUUCGGCUUACUUAGUUGAAGUCCGUACUUAAAUUUUCACGCAUGUCUGAGUGCCAAGUGGGCCAUUUUUGGUAAGCAGAACUGGCGCUGUGGGAUGAACCGAACGUCGAGUUAAGGCGCCCGAGUGUGACGCUCAUGAGACCCCACAAAAGGUGUUGGUUGCUAUAGACAGCAGGACGGUGGGCAUGGAAGUCGCAAUCCGCUAAGGAGUGUGUAACAACUCACCUGCCGAAGCAACUAGCCCUGAAAAUGGAUGGCGCUGUAGCGUUACGCCUAUACUCGACCGUUGCGGCACGCUGUAUUGUUUGUAGGCUUCGCGCCGCAAUGCGCGUGAUUCACGCCGCAACGAGUAGGAGGGUCGCGGCGGUAAGCGCUGAAGGCUUAGCGGCGUGAGCCGGGCCGGAGCUGCCGUCGGUGCAGAUCUUGGUGGUAGUAGCAAAUACUCAAGCGAGAAUCUUGAGGACUGAAGUGGAGAAGGGUUCCAUGUGAACAGCAGUUGAACAUGGGUCAGUCGAUCCUAAGGUAUCGGCGAAAGCCGUUCAGAAGCGGUGUUGGUUAUAUUGAUGCGUGUUCGCGCGUGUUGAUGAUUAAAGGCUUUAUGUUUUUAGUCGCCGCACUUGCCGAAAGGGAAUCGGGUUAAUAUUCCUGAACUAAGCAACGGAGAUUGCCCGUCUACGGUGCUUCAGCUCUUGUUAGUUGUUGUGUCCGAGGCGAUGCAAUGCGGUAACGCAAACAAGCUCAGAUACGCUGCCUUGUGACCUGGGAAGAGUUUUCUUUUCUUCAUAAAGGGCCGACUGCCUGGAAUCGGUUCAGCCGGAGAUAGGCAGGUGGCGCCUGAAAAGCAGCGCGAUUCUUGUGCUGUCCGGUGCUCGCAAGGCGGCCCGUGAAAAUCUGAGCGAGAGGUUAAUUUUCGUGCUUAAUCGUACCCAUAUCCGCAGCAGGUCUCCAAGGUGCGCAGCCUCUCGUCCACUAGAAGCAUGUAGGUAAGGGAAGUCGGCAAAAUGGAUCCGUAACUUCGGGAAAAGGAUUGGCUCUGAGGGCUGGGCCAAACGGGCUAGUGCUUGAAGCUAGCGUGGUUGUUUUGUGGGACUGUCAAUGCUUGCGGCGUAGUUUGUGUUUAAGCGUUCACGCGUUUAGGCGCUGCUACGUCGAUCACAGGCAAUGAUGGACCAUUAAACGGCCUGCUAGUGGAAGGCGCUAGCUGUGCAGCCGUGUGUUCUUGUGCUGCUUCACGGCGGUAUUUGAGUGUGCGGGUCCUGCUUCGUUUGGCGCUUAACAGCUAACUCAGAACUGGCACGGACCAGGGGAAUCCGACUGUCUAAUUAAAACAUAGCANNNNNNNNNNNNNNNNNNNNNNNNNNNNNNNNNNNNNNNNNNNNNNNNNNCAUGAAUGUCAAAGCGAAGAAAUUCGAACAAGCGCUGCUAAACGGCGGGAGUAACUAUGACUCUCUUAAGGUAGCCAAAUGCCUCGUCAUCUAAUUAGUGACGCGCAUGAAUGGAUCAACGAGAUUCCUACUGUCCCUAUCUACUGUCUAGCGAAACCACAGCCAAGGGAACGGGCUUGGAAGAAUCAGCGGGGAAAGAAGACCCUGUUGAGCUUGACUCUAGUCUGACACGGUGAGGAGACAUGAGAGGUGUAGAAUAGGCGGGAGGCCGUGCUUGACGCGUGCCGACAGUGAAAUACCGCUACUUUCAUCGUUUCUUUACUUAUUCGGUGAAGCGGAACUAGCAGCGUCGUUUUUCUUUGAAAAGCGUGCGUUUGUUUGGUUUUUGCGCCAAGUGUUGCAGCCUUUCUUCGGAAAGGUGCGAUGAGCAGUAAUUGCGGCAUAAUCCGUGCCGAAGACAGCGCCAGGCGGGGAGUUUGGCUGGGGCGGUACAUCUGUUAAACGGCAACGCAGGUGUCCUAAGGCGAGCUCAGAGGGGACAGAAACCUCUCGUAGAGUAAAAGGGCAAAAGCUCGCUUGACUGGGGCUUUCAGUAUGAGCACCUGCCGCGAAAGCGUGGCCUAUCGAUCCUCUUGUGGGUAAAACUUACCCCCAGAGGUACCAGAAAAGUUACCGCAGGGAUAACUGGCUUGUGGCGGCCAAGCGUCCAUAGCGACGUCGCUUUUUGAUCCUUCGAUGUCGGCUCUUCCUAUCAUUGCGAUGCAGCCGUCGC
rnacentral:rRNA from 1 species